rnacentral:rRNA from 1 species
UACAGAGGUCUCAAGCGUUGUUCGGAUUCAUUGGGCGUAAAGGGUGCGUAGGCGGCGCGGUAAGUCGGGUGUGAAAUCUCGGAGCUUAACUCCGAAACUGCAUUCGAUACUGCGGUGCUUGAGGACUGGAGAGGAGACUGGAAUUCAUGGUGUAGCAGUGAAAUGCGUAGAGAUCAUGAGGAAGACCAGUGGCGAAGGCGGGCCUCUGGGCAGUAACUGACGCUGAGGAGCGAAAGCGUGGGGAGCGAACAGG